ACAGGUAGGAGUGGGGGUGGUUGCUGAAUAACCUUAUUCAGGAACUCUAGAGGGGGGUUGCAGAAUAGUCUCAAGACUCUUAUUCUGCUAACAGCAGGCUUAUUCUGCUAACACCCAUCUUCAUGCCACACGCACCCACAAAACAACCUCCCCCUCUCCUACCUGUAGCUUUCCCACCGGAGCGAGUGAGCGGAAGCUGCGGAGCAGCGCGAGGGAGCGAGCUCCGACCACCCCAUGGUACACACCCACUCCUUGCCUCGCCCACUUCCUCUCCAUCCGGCCGGCGCGCCAGCCACCAGAGCCGCCCCCGCGGGCUCCUCCACACCGCCAGCACUGGAUCUCGUCGAGAUCGGGCUUCCCUGCUCGAACAUGGCGGCCUCCCCUCCCCCAAGCCAUGGAGCGCGAAUUCCAACUCCCCUGGCUCCACAUCCCCGCCCGCCUCCCCCCGCGGCAACUCCCACUACAAGCCGGCGCUGGAUCCAGGCCGCGGUACACCCCCGCACCCCCCGGUGACGCCCUGCACCGGAUCUAGGCCGCGGCGCUCCCUCCCCCUCGCCCUCCCCCACCUGAGCCGCCACCCCACCCUCUCCGGCGCGGCACGCACCAUCUGAGACGCUGCCCCACCUUCUCUGCGCACAGUGCGCCCCACCCAACCGCCGACGAGGCCAGCCAUCACCGGAUCUAGACAGUCGCGGCCCCACACGGCCUGCCAUCGCCGGUUUGAAGCCCGCAAGGCCUCGCGUGGAGAAGGUGACCCCGCCCCUCCUCCUCCUCCCUGGUUCAGAUCGAGCCGAGGACGAGCCCUCUACUUCUCGUGGCGGUCUCCGGCGAGACCCUCAUCUGUGCCAUCCGUGGUACUCGGGCACCGCCCCACCCCGGGCGGCUCAGUCGCCGGCCCCCGUGCAGCUCGGUUGCGGCCCCCGUGCAGCUCGGUCAGGGCCCCUGUGUUCGUGCAGGUUCGCCGGCCACAGCUUGCCUCUGCCGGCCUCCCUCGUUGUCAGCCACGGCGUAGCAACCACCGGCCUCGAGCGUCCUCUCCUCGAAGGCAGCAACGGCGUGCAAUGAAAGAUGCGGACAAGACACACACGGCGAGCGGAGGACAACCUCAACACCCAGCCUCCCAUGCAGUCCGUCCGAUGAGUCCGUGCGGUGCGAAGUGCCUGUGCCUGCAAUUCCUUGGCUUCGGUUUUGUUUCGUUUGUACUCUUGCAUUGCAAUUUGCUUCUGGGAGUGCUCCAGUGCUGGUUUCGUUAUGGAAUUGGUUCCUAAUGGCAUGUGGUUCGAAAAAGGGCGAGAUGCAGCUCGCCGACGUGUGCUCGAUGCCACCCGUUCCUGGCAGUGUCCACAAAGCCGUUCAGUUUGCACGGGAAAGCGGUUCUGCAACUCGUCCCUGCAGUUCCUGGCGGUGGAUGCAUUUUCUUAACCUUUUUUAAUGUGAUGUAUAGGCGUAUUUUGCAUCCAAGUUCCCUGCUCGGGGGUGCACUUCAGUCCGAUGGAGGGGCGCGUGUAGCUCUGUUAUCUUAUUUUUGAGAGUCAAUUAUAUUGGUGGUGCGAGAACUUGGCGCAAA